UCACGAAUGGACGUAAUGGACGAGGACUACAGACUACUCCAAAUAUAAACAACAUACACAACAAACUUUAUUGCAAAAGCUUAGUGAAAUUAAUUCACAACUCACGACACAACUUACAUAAAGCUUCAAAUGUCAACAGCUGGUGUAGAGGACUAGAGUAUAGAGGUAUGAAAUUUCAGGAAGACCGGUUUUCUCCUGUUUAAAUUAUAAAGAUUAUGCUACGGCUACGGGUAGUUUAUUAAACACGACACUAAACGGUCUUUGUUGUGCAACGCAAUUUUAUCGACCGGCUAACUACAUACCCGCAGGAUAGGGAAUCUAUAGUAUAGGCCAUUUUAUAAGCCAAGGGAAUUUAUACGCCAG